GGAUCUUCAGCCCAACACUCCCACAGCCAGGACCUAUGAGCUGGAGUUUAUAUGAGGCAAAGAACAGUCUUUAUGAAGACUGAGGAAGUGGAUUUAACAAAUAGGAAGAUAAAAUUACUAAUAUGAGGGCAAGCUGCCACUCCUGCAAUAAUGAAAAGAAGAAAUUGGCACACAUUUUUAAAACAGCUCAGAAAAACUUGGGCAAAAUGAAAACAAAGAAGAGAUUAAAGAAUACAGUGAAAGAACAUGGCUUUUUCAUUCAGACUAUAGCAUACAGUACUGUGGUUUUUCUAUUUACCCACACAAAAUGGAACCCAAGAGACGACACAGCUGAGGAAAUUACAGAGUCUUUACCAAUGAAAGACAUUCAAGUCUGCGUAGUUUUCAGCUGAAACAAAUAACCACCAGCUUCUCCACAGC
rnacentral:lncRNA from 1 species